rnacentral:rRNA from 1 species
GACGAACGCUGGCGGCGUGGAUUAGGCAUGCAAGUCGAACGGUAGGAUACCUUCGGGUAUCUGAGAGUGGCGAACGGGUGAGUAACACGUAGGUGAUCUACCCUCAAGAUUGGGACAACCCAGGGAAACUUGGGCUAAUACCGGAUGAAAGCAGCAGUGAUGUUGUUUGAAAGGUGGCGUAAGCUGCCGUUUGGGGAUGAGCCUGCGCUCUAUUAGUUAGUUGGCGGGGUAAAGGCCCACCAAGGCGAUGAUAGAUAGGCGGCCUUAACGGGUGGUCGCCCACACUGGGAUUGAGAUACGGCCCAGACUCCUACGGGAGGCAGCAGUCGAGAAUAGUCUACAAUGGCCGAAAGGCUGAUAGUGCGACGCCGCGUGAACGAAGAAGCCCUUCGGGGGUAAAGUUCUUUUAUAUGUGAGCAGUGCUUUCUAUGUGACAGCAUGGGGAGAGAGAUAUUAGCAUAUGAAUAAGCAACGGCUAACUCGUGCCAGUCA